rnacentral:misc_RNA from 1 species
AAAGCAAGUGAGAGAUAAGCAAAUAGCACGAGUGAUUGGGAAGAUACCAACAAUUGCUGCGGCAGCCUAUUUGAGAAUGGCUGGUAGACCUCCAGUGCUUCCUUCCAGCAGCCUUUCUUAUUCAGAAAACUUUUUGUACAUGCUGGACUCUAUGGGCAACCGGUCAUACAAACCUAAUCCCCAACUUGCUCGGGCACUUGACGUUCUUUUAAUUCUACA